GUUCCUGUAGCGCAAUGGAUAGCGCGUUGGACUCCUAAUCCAAAGGUCGUGCAUUCGAAUCCUACCUGGGAUA
rnacentral:tRNA from 1 species